AACGAACGCUGGCGGCAGGCUUAACACAUGCAAGUCGAACGCGUGCAGCAAUGCACGAGUGGCGCACGGGUGAGUAACGCGUGGAUAUCUGCCUUUUGGUUCGGAAUAACCCCGGGAAACUGGGGCUAAUACCGGAUGGUCCCUACGGGAUAAAGAUUUAUCGCCAAAAGAUGAGUCCGCGUCCGAUUAGCUAGUUGGUGAGGUAAUGGCUCACCAAGGCGACGAUCGGUAGCUGGUCUGAGAGGACGAUCAGCCACACUGGGACUGAGACACGGCCCAGACUCCUACGGGAGGCAGCAGUGGGGAAUAUUGGACAAUGGGGGCAACCCUGAUCCAGCCAUGCCGCGUGAGUGAUGAAGGCCUUCGGGUUGUAAAGCUCUUUUGGCGGGGACGAUGAUGACGGUACCCGCAGAAUAAGCCCCGGCUAACUUCGUG
rnacentral:rRNA from 1 species